GCCAGACUCCUACGGGAGGCAGCAGUGGGGAAUAUUGGGCAAUGGGCGCAAGCCUGACCCAGCAACGCCGCGUGAAGGAAGAAGGCUUUCGGGUUGUAAACUUCUUUUAUGAGGGACGAAAGAAAUGACGGUACCUCAUGAAUAAGCCACGGCUAACUACGUGCCAGCAGCCGCGGUAAUACGUAGGUGGCAAGCGUUAUCCGGAUUUACUGGGUGUAAAGGGCGUGUAGGCGGGACUGCAAGUCAGAUGUGAAAAUUAUGGGCUCAACCCAUAACCUGCAUUUGAAACUGUAGUUCUUGAGUGAUGGAGAGGCAGGCGGAAUUCCGUGUGUAGCGGUGAAAUGCGUAGAUAUCGCGCAGAACUCCGAUUGCGAAGGCAGCGUACCGGCGCCGGACUGACGCUGAGGCACGAAAGCGUGGGUAUCGAACAGGAUUAGAUACCCCAGUA
rnacentral:rRNA from 1 species